rnacentral:rRNA from 1 species
GAUGAACGCUGGCGGCGUGCUUAACACAUGCAAGUCGAACGAGAAGUGAAGACGGAAACCUUCGGGCGGAAGGCUUUAUUUCGAGUGGCGGACGGGUGAGUAACGCGUGGGUAACCUGCCUCAUACAGGGGGAUAACAGUUGGAAACGACUGUUAAUACCGCAUAAGACAACAGCACCGCAUGGUGCGGGGGUAAAAACUCCGGUGGUAUGAGAUGGACCCGCGUUCGAUUAGCCAGUUGGCGGGGUAACGGCCCACCAAAGCGACGAUCGAUAGCCGAUCUGAGAGGAUGACCGGCCACAUUGGGACUGAGACACGGCCCAAACUCCUACGGGAGGCAGCAGUGGGGAAUAUUGCACAAUGGGGGAAACCCUGAUGCAGCGACGCCGCGUGAAUGAAGAAGUAUUUCGGUAUGUAAAGCUCUAUCAGCAGGGAAGAAAAUGACGGUACCUGAGUAAGAAGCCCCGGCUAACUACGUG